UUAAUAUGGCAGAAUAGUGCAUUGAAUUUAAAUUUCAAUCAUAAAGAUUUUUAUCUUUUAUUAAAA
rnacentral:tRNA from 1 species